CAAUAGCGUAUAUUUAAGUUGCUGCAGUUAAAAAGCUCGUAGUUGGAUUUCGGGUGGGAAUGGCCGGUACGCCGUUUCGGUGUGCACUUGCUACGCCCACCUUGCUGCCGGGGACGUGCUCUUGAGUUCACGCUCGGGACACGGAGUCGGCGAGGUUACUUUGAGUAAAUUAGAGUGUUCAAAGCAGGCCUACGCUCUGAAUACAUUAGCAUGGAAUAACACGAUAGGACUCUGGCCUAUCUUGUUGGUCUGUAGGACCGGAGUAAUGAUUAAGAGGGACAGUCGGGGGCAUUCGUAUUUCAUUGUCAGAGGUGAAAUUCUUGGAUUUAUGAAAGACGAACUACUGCGAAAGCAUUUGCCAAGGAUGUUUUCAUUAA
rnacentral:rRNA from 1 species